rnacentral:misc_RNA from 1 species
AGGGAAGUUGUGCGAUCAUCCGGCACGUUUCCCCUUUUUCGCCGCCAGUCACAUUGACAGGCAUCAUAUGCGCGGGGUUUUUUCGUCUCCGAUCCGGGCGUUUGCUUGAAACCCCGGACUGCCCAUCAUCCACCGCUCGAACACAAGCAACACCAGGUCAGUGUCCAGCCUGCCCAAAACGUCUGAGGGGGUCCGCGUUCUGAAAUUCCACAAGGAGGAGUCGGAGUCCUUG